GGAUUUGACCUGGGCGGGCGUUUUUCGACCGGUCCCUUUAAUUUCACAAUUUCCACCUCCACCUCGAACACAAUGUUCAUCUAAGUUCCUUUAUCGAACACCUUCGGUGCGCCUUCCCACCAUCGCCGAAAGGGAGAAGCGAGCGGAAUGGCAGCUCCAUCUGCAAGCAUCGCCGUCGCAAACGCUACCUGGGAACAGAUCAAAUCCUCUCGCUCAGUGUCCGACGACCACCUAUCCAUCCUGCACUUCUUAUUCGGGAAGAACUUGGAGCGCGCGACGAGGAUCGUCGACCAGGGCGGCGUCCGAAGGGUCUCCGGGGCUCCCAGCGGCCGUUCUCUCUUUCUGGUGGUAGGGGAAUCGAAGAGGAAGGAGGAGUACAUCUGCUUUCCCGAGCACCACUGCACCUGCUACUCUUUCUUCUAUGACAUCGUCAACAGGGGUGAACAGCUCUGUUGCAAGCAUCAAAUAGCAGCUCGGCUUGCUGAAGCCGUGGGUGCGCUCACGGAAGUGGAGGUGUCUGAUGAGCAGCUGGCGCUUAUGCUUGCGAAACUCUGACAGCUAUAAGCGUCUCAAAUCGUACAGAUUAAAGUGAUACUAAUACACCAAAUAGUUGAGAAAAGGCUAGAGUGGUUAUGAUUAUGAUUAUGAGAUUAAAGUUCAGGAUGGAUCCUAGUCCCGUACUAUGCAUAAGUGCUACCCUGAAUUGGGCAGCCUAUAGCCCAGUGGUUGCACCCAUCCUCCAAGGUUCCGCAUUCAGGGUUGUUUUCUCAAGUAUUGGACCCAGGUAAUUCUACCAUGUGGCUUUCCUCCCCUUUCCCUCAAAAGAACGAAGUGUUAUAAUAAGUGUUAUUGCUAACAGGUUUGAUGUGAACUAUUUCCAUGAUUAUUCCCUCAUCCUGCUCAUUUUGCAGUGCUCUCCCAAGCAUGCAUGCACACAUUAUUUUGAGGAUUUGAGGGACUUAGUCAAUUCACAGAUUGGCAUCAGACUAAUUUGCAUGAUUGGUGUGCACAUGUGACUCGAGUCUAUUGUGGAUUGAGGAGAUGACAACCUCUGAUUGAUGUGGCUGAUGUAUGCUUAUGGAGGAUGGAUACCUGCUAACCGCACGCUUGUUGGCCAGUGACCAAGGAGCAGUUUCCAACUCAGCGGCUCUGGCUGAAGAAGUAUUUUACUGCAAAUAACAAAUAGCUAUCUAUUCCUCAACUUGUUGAAAUCUUGGAGAUUUGUAGGCAUUUUGGGGAUUGCUUGUGAAGGCUGUGAACAGAACUUGAGUGUAAUAAAGCAAAAUGCAUGGUUUUCCCAAAAAUUUUGAAAGUGGUGCUCAUGACAUUAACAUA